rnacentral:lncRNA from 1 species
UGUUAAUUUUUUUAAGUAAUUAAUACUUGCAUGUUAAUUUUUGUAAGUAGUUAAGUAAUGUUAACAAUUACUUUUUAAUUUUUUGUAAGUAAUUAAGUAAUGUUGUAUAAUUAUUCCCUACGAUAAUUUUAAUAUGUUUAAUGUUAUUUAUUAUUUUAUUAAUAUUAGGUUUUAUUAUCAAAUAGGAUUAUUCUUCAUUAAUAUUAGGUUUUUUUAUUAUCAAAUUGGAUUAUUAUUCAUUAAAUUAGAUUAUUAUAAAAUUAGAUUAUUAUUCAUUAAAUUGGAUUAUUCAUUAAAUUGGCUUAUUAUCAAAUUGGACUAUUCAUUAAAGCCCACUCAAUGUAGUCUCCAAACUUGACCUUAGGCCCAAAUCUCAAACAUAACCACACUUGGGUUGGGUUGGGUUGAACCAAAAGGUCCAAAACUUAGGAAAAAAAAAACGAAUUAUUCAUUUUUAUUCAUUAAUAUUAGGUUUUUUUUAUUAUCAAAUUGGAUUAUUCAUUAAAUUGAAUUAUUAUUAAAGUGGAUUAUUAUUAAAUUGGAUUAUUAUCAAAAAGGAAUAUUAUUCUUCACUAUGUUUUAUAUUAGGAUUAUUUUCAUGAAACAUAAUUAUCAUCAUUUAUAGUAGGAUUAUUUAUAUUAGGAUUAUUAUAAAAAAGGAAUAUUAUUCAUCAUUUAUAUUAGGAUUAUUUUUUUAUCAAAUUGGAUUAUUAUUCAUUAAUAUUAGGUUUUAUUAUUCCAUAUUAAUUUUUUAAUUACUUAAAUUUUUACAAUCAUUUUCUUUACUUCAUAUUGUAUUCUUCUGUAGAAUAACUUUAUUAUUUAGGUUCUGUAGAAUAACUUUAUUAUUUAAUUCUUUUGUCUAAUUUUCAUGAAAAAUAAAUGUAGGUACGUUUAAGAUGUCUAGUGGAGC